rfam:Colletotrichum gloeosporioides Nara gc5 unplaced genomic scaffold scaffold131, whole genome shotgun sequence.
ACAUACGACCAUACCCACUGGAGAACUCGGGAUCCCGUCCGCUCUCCCAUAGAUAAGCCAGUGAGGGCUGGGGAGUAGUAGUCCGACUGGCGAAUGCCCGGUGUUGUAUGUU